AAUGAACGCUGGCGGCAGGCCUAACACAUGCAAGUCGAACGAGUGGCGGACGGGUGAGUAAUGUCUGGGAACCUGCCCGAUGGCGGGGGAUACCUACUGGAAACGGUAGCUAAUACCGCAUACCAUCGGAUGUUCCCAGAUGGGAUUAGCUAGUAGGUGGGGUAACGGCUCACCUAGGCGACGAUCCCUAGCUGGUCUGAGAGGAUGACCGGCCACACUGGAACUGAGACACGGUCCAGACUCCUACGGGAGGCAGCAGUAGGGAAUAUUGCGCAAUGGGCGAAAGCCUGACGGAGCCACGCCGCGUGUAUGAUGAAGGCCUUCGGGUUGUAAAGCACUGUCAGCGGGGAGGCGGUACUCGCAGAGGAAGCACCGGCUAACUACGUGCCAGCAGCCGCGGUAAUUC
rnacentral:rRNA from 1 species